CUCCUGGCACGACUGCUAAAGCUGUAGCCGCUCCGCUCUAGGUUGUAGGGUUUCAGGGUGGGCAAGCACAGCAAAAGCAUAAUGAAUUUUAAAAUUUAAACUAAGUAAUCUUAAAUAUAAAACCCUUAAAUUUGCAUCUCUUUGAUUAUUAACAAUCAUAUAUAACAUAAAUUCAAAAUUAAAUUCAAGCUAUAGAAGAAUACCUGCAGUGCUUAAUCCAAAUUCCAAUAGAACCUCCACCAGGCACCCAAUUGUUCGCCCUCCAAUGGUGAUCCACAUAGGGCUAU
rnacentral:lncRNA from 1 species